rnacentral:rRNA from 1 species
CUGGCGGCAGGCCUAACACGAUGCAAGUCGAGCGGUAGCACAGAGAGCUUGCUCUCGGGUGACGAGCGGCGGACGGGUGAGUAAUGUCUGGGGAAACUGCCUGAUGGAGGGGGAUAACUACUGGAAACGGUAGCUAAUACCGCAUAACGUCGCAAGACCAAAGUGGGGGACCUUCGGGCCUCAUGCCAUCAGAUGUGCCCAGAUGGGAUUAGCUAGUAGGUGGGGUAACGGCUCACCUAGGCGACGAUCCCUAGCUGGUCUGAGAGGAUGACCAGCCACACUGGAACUGAGACACGGUCCAGACUCCUACGGGAGGCAGCAGUGGGGAAUAUUGCACAAUGGGCGCAAGCCUGAUGCAGCCAUGCCGCGUGUGUGAAGAAGGCCUUCGGGUUGUAAAGCACUUUCAGCGGGGAGGAAGGCGAUAAGGUUAAUAACCUUGUCGAUUGACGUUACCCGCAGAAGAAGCACCGGCUAACUCCGUGCCAGCCGCCGC